CUCCUCUCACAUCUUAUCUAACAGAUUUGUGUCCACAGUCUCAUCCCUAAACCAAUCAUUGGAAAACAAGGAUGAUUGAAUAACCCCAAGGCCAACCAGUCCUACCCCUGGAGCUGGUCCAAAAUCAGCCUCUUCUUGGAGAGUAAAGGGAUGCAGAUAAGGAAAAUGAAGCAAAGAGUCUGAGUGACCAGCUCAAGAUUCCUUGGCAAUGAAAUGAUGGAGACAAGCUUAGGUAUUAAGAUCUUGAGCUGCAUUAUAAAGACAGAUUUUUCUAAAUGAGGGAAGUUACAGUUCCUGGGACUAUUGUGCAGAUCGCUGACUCUACAUUCAAGUAGGAGCACUGCCACAUUGGAUGGUAUCCAAAAGAAAGUGGUGUGGGAUCCAGGAACCACAUCAGAGAAGACUUGUUGAAGGAACUGCUGAUAUUUGGCCUGAAGAAGACAAGACUCGUGGACCAUAUUCAUUCAUUCACUCAUUCACUUGUUCAUUCAUUCUACAUUUAUUAAGUACUUGCUAUAUGUGACAUGCUGCAGAUACAGCCAGCAGCCAAACAGACAGAAUUUCUGGUCUCAUGAACCCAAAUCCAGAGAGGAUUCACAUGCAGUAAUAAAGGGUGUCAUGCGAAGAAUUAGCUUUCUUUUGAGUGAACCAGGACCAGGGCCAGAAGAGGAAUAUACCUAGGCAGAACUCUUUAGGUGCAGGUGAGGGGGCAGAGAUGGCUGGCUCAAAUGCAUGAACCCCUUGUAUUUUAAGUCUAGAAGGCUACUGGGAAGCUAUGAGAGGGGAUCCAAGAAGGGGCCAGGUUGGGCCAGGGCUUAGCAGCUUUAGUUCCCUUCAAACCAAGGCACUGUGGAUGCACCAAGGCUGCAGACCAGGCUGCUCUGGAAAGGCCCUCAGAAGUUGCCACUUAACUGGUGGAAGAGAAAAACAAGGACCUGAAGCUCCUUGGUCUUUGGUUUCCUUUCUUGAGCCUCCAUGUUCUCGAUGCUUCGGUGAUACUAUGGCCCUUUCUCUCCCCACCACCGAGAAUUCUUUUCAACAGUGUCCCUCCGCAGAGGAUAAGGGAAUUAGCAGCAAAAUAUUUUAGAACAGGAUUCAGAUUUUUCAAAAGCCCAUUUUAAAAAAAAAUUCAUUUCAAUUGUAGCUGAUUCUGAAGCAAAACACAAGCAAUAAGGCUGAGGAAACAAAAAUCACCCUAAGAUAAUCAUGGCUAAGAAUAUUUCCUUCUAUUUUGUCUUUGUUUAGGAUUUUGUUUUAUUUUUUAAGUACAUAUGAUCACACCAAAUUCUGCUUUUUCACUUAGGAUUGUUCAAAACAAGUCUGUCGUGAAAAUUAUGAUAAGCUCUUCAUUACAAUCAUAUAUUGACUUAUAUAAUUAUAUUAUUAUUAUGUAACAUUAUAUUAAGUAAAUAGACCAUAGUUUACUUAUUCAUUGGCCAUUCCCAAUCUUUGAUACUAUUUGGUACAACGUAGAAGACCAUACAUGAUACCAGUGUUGGGGAAUAAAGGAGGGAAUGGUGUGCUGUGGGGAGGAAAGAGGUUAGCACUGGGUGGGGAGUGUAUGGUCACUGAUUAGAAAAAGAAUGGAGCAAGUGACAUAGACUUAAAGACCUGUAGAUGUUUCCCGGUUAGACCAGUGAGGAAAGCACAUUUUCAGUGACUGAGAGGUCCUCUGCAGGGGUCAAUGCCAGGUUCCCACUACCAGGGACUAGCUGGGUGACCAUGGAAAAGUAACUUCUCUGAGCCUCAUUCUCCUACCUGUGUUUCACAGUGUGGCUGAGAGAAUUACUUCAAAUUGGUAGAGAGGAGGAUCAAAUUGAGAUAACAUGUGCAAAGCGCUUCAUGCCAUGCCUGAUUCUCAGCAUGCGCCCAACACCGGCCAGCUGUGCCACAUUGUCUUUUGGCAACUCAGGGCCAUUUUUGCCCUUCUAAGUUCUCCUUAUAACAUGGGGGUUGGAAGCCUAGCAACUAUGUCUUAUAAAAUUCCUACUCCCAGAAUGUGUUAGUUUACUAGGGCUGUCCAAACAGCCAUAACAAAGUACCCCAGGCUGGGUGCUUUAAACAACAGAAAUUUAGGGGCACCUGGGUGGCUCAGUGGUUGAGAA